rnacentral:tRNA from 1 species
UCCCCGGUAGCGCAGAUGGCAGAGCCCCCGGCCGUCAACCACGAGGUCCGUGGUUCGAGGCCACGUGGGGGAACCA